rnacentral:misc_RNA from 1 species
CUCCCCCCCUCCCUCCCCUCUCGACGUCCUUCUCGUCGCCUGCACGUUGGAGUUUUAUCUCUCGAGUCUUCCGCCGCAUCGCCAACAUGAGCACGGAGAUCUCUGACUUCCAAGACGUAAGUAAUGAGACAUAGCGAAGCAGCUGUAUCCGCAGAGAGGCCGUGUGUGUAAGUAGAGAGAGCUAAGAAAAGAGAGAGAGAGAGAGAGAGAUAGGUUAAUAGAUAGAUAGAGAGAGAGAGAGAGAGAGAGAGAGAUGGGGGAAGGAAGAGAAAGAGAGAGAUA